UGGGGAAUAUUGGACAAUGGGGGAAACCCUGAUCCAGCGACGCCGCGUGUGUGAAGAAGGCCUGCGGGUUGUAAAGCACUUUCGGUGGGAACGAAAUAUGCCGGGCUAAUACCCCGGUAGGCUGACGUUACUCAAUGAAGAAGCACCGGCUAACUCUGUGCCAGCAGCCGCGGUAAUACAGAGGGUGCGAGCGUUAAUCGGAAUUACUGGGCGUAAAGCGCACGUAGGUGGCGACGUAAGUCGGGUGUGAAAUCCCCGGGCUCAACCUGGGAACCGCAUUCGAGACUGUGUUGCUGGAGUACGGAAGAGGAGGGCGGAAUUCCCGGUGUAGCGGUGAAAUGCGUAGAUAUCGGGAGGAACAUCAGUGGCGAAGGCGGCCCUCUGGUCCAGUACUGACACUCAAGUGCGAAAGCGUGGGGAGCAAACAGG
rnacentral:rRNA from 1 species